AUGGAAAUUUGCAAAGAAAAAAUAAAUUUCCUUGGGCAUGAAAUAGGAGAAGGAAAGAUAUAUCUACAAGAACAAAUUGCAAAGAAAAUAUUAGAGUUUCCUGAUAAUAUGAGUAAUAAAAAGGUUUUGCAGCAGUUCUUAGGAAUUGUAAACUAUGCGCGAAACUAUAUAGACAACUUAGCAAAGUUAGCAGGACCUUUAUAUGCUAAAUUAAGGAAAAAUGGUCAAAAGUACUUCAAUUCCAAAGAUAUAAAAUUAGUAAAGGACAUCAAGGAAAAGGUCAAGAAUUUAAAACCCCUAGAAUUGCCUGUAGAAGGCAAUUAUUUUAUAAUUGAGACAGAUGCAUCUAAGGUUGGAUGGGGUGCGAUACUAAAACAAAAAACCCAAUAA
rnacentral:rRNA from 1 species